rnacentral:rRNA from 1 species
AGGACGAACGCUGGCGGCGUGCUUAACACAUGCAAGUCGAGCGGAAAGGCCAUUUCGGUGGUACUCGAGCGGCGAACGGGUGAGUAACACGUGAGUAAUCUGCCCCUGGCUUUGGGAUAGCCACCGGAAACGGUGAUUAAUACCGGAUAUGACCCGCCCUCGCAUGGGGGUGUGUGGAAAGUUUUUCGGCCAGGGAUGUGCUCGCGGCCUAUCAGCUUGAUGGUGGGGUAAUGGCUCACCAUGGCUUCGACGGGUGCCGGCCUGAGAGGGUGACCGGUCACACUGGGACUGGAGACACGGCCCAGGACCUCCGUACGGGAGGCAGCAGGUGGGGAAUAGUUGGACAAGUGGGACGGAAGCCUGAUCCAGCAACGCCGCGUGAGGAUGACGGCGUUCGGGUUGUAACCUCUUACAGUACCGAGAAGCGGAAGUGACGGUAGGUACAAGAAGAAGACCACCGGCCAAACGUACGUACGCC